UAUGUAAAAAAAGCGCCAGGACUAAGUGGAAUUUAGCUUAAAGCGAAUUUUUAGCGAGUUAGUUUUUAAGAAAAAGAAUUUAGAUGAUAGAAUCUUUUUAAAGGAAACUAGACUCACAUUCGUUUGCUGAGUAAGCUCAACUAAUCAAAUCGAAGAUUUGGAGUUUCACUUAUGUUGACGAGGUUGGGGAGUAUCGAAACUUCGGCGGGUGCCCCACGGUAUCGCACUACCGUAAACGACUGGUAAAACUGUAAAGUGAUUUACAGCACAAGUUCAGUCUGGUGUUAAAA
rnacentral:ncRNA from 2 species